rnacentral:rRNA from 1 species
UCGGGAAUAUUGCGCAAUGGAGGAAACUCUGACGCAGUGACGCCGCGUAUAGGAAGAAGGUUUUCGGAUUGUAAACUAUUGUCGUUAGGGAAGAUAUAAGACAGUACCUAAGGAGGAAGCUCCGGCUAACUACGUGCCAGUAGCCGCGGUAAUACGUAGGGAGCAAGCGUUAUCCGGAUUUAUUGGGUGUAAAGGGUGCGUAGACGGGACAACAAGUUAGUUGUGAAAUCCCUCGGCUUAACUGAGGAACUGCAACUAAAACUAUUGUUCUUGAGUGUUGGAGAGGAAAGUGGAAUUCCUAGUGUAGCGGUGAAAUGCGUAGAUAUUAGGAGGAACACCGGUGGCGAAGGCGACUUUCUGGACAAUAACUGACGUUGAGGCACGAAAGUGUGGGGAGCAAACA